rnacentral:rRNA from 1 species
GAUGAACGCUGGCGGCGUGCUUAACACAUGCAAGUCGAACGGUGAAGGCGGAGCUUGCUCUGCUGGAUCAGUGGCGAACGGGUGAGUAACACGUGAGCAAUCUGCCCCUGACUCUGGGAUAAGCGCUGGAAACGGCGUCUAAUACUGGAUACGAGCUGCGAAGGCAUCUUCAGCAGCUGGAAAGAACUUCGGUCAGGGAUGAGCUCGCGGCCUAUCAGCUUGUUGGUGAGGUAACGGCUCACCAAGGCGUCGACGGGUAGCCGGCCUGAGAGGGUGACCGGCCACACUGGGACUGAGACACGGCCCAGACUCCUACGGGAGGCAGCAGUGGGGAAUAUUGCACAAUGGGCGAAAGCAUGAUGCAGCAACGCCGCGUGAGGGAUGACGGCCUUCGGGUUGGAAACCUCUUUUAGCAGGGAAGAAGCGAAGUGACGGUACCUGCAGAAAAAGCGCCGGCUAACUACGUG